CCUACGGGAGGCAGCAGUGGGGAAUUUUGGACAAUGGGCGCAAGCCUGAUCCAGCAAUGCCGCGUGAGUGAAGAAGGCCUUCGGGUUGUAAAGCUCUUUUGUCAGGGAAGAAACGGUGGGAGCUAAUAUCUCCCGCUAAUGACGGUACCUGAAGAAUAAGCACCGGCUAACUACGUGCCAGCAGCCGCGGUAAUACGUAGGGUGCAAGCGUUAAUCGGAAUUACUGGGCGUAAAGCGUGCGCAGGCGGUUUUGUAAGUCUGUCGUGAAAGCCCCGGGCUCAACCUGGGAAUUGCGAUGGAGACUGCAAGGCUUGAAUCUGGCAGAGGGGGGUAGAAUUCCACGUGUAGCAGUGAAAUGCGUAGAGAUGUGGAGGAACACCGAUGGCGAAGGCAGCCCCCUGGGUCAAGAUUGACGCUCAUGCACGAAAGCGUGGGGAGCAAACAGGAUUAGAUACCCUGGUAGUCCACGCCCUAAACGAUGUCUACUAGUUGUCGGGUUUUAAUUAACUUGGUAACGCAGCUAACGCGUGAAGUGACCGCUGGGGAGUCGGUCGCAGNUUAAAACUUCAAAGGAAUUGACGG
rnacentral:rRNA from 1 species